UUCUUGCCAGGAGUUUCAGUUUGUGGAUCUGGUUUGUCGUCACUAACAGCUGCAUCAGGUCGCGACACCUCGACACAAACAUCCAGUUCUGUCGCCAUGAAACAGGACAAACAUUGUGAUGUCAUCACGUGGUCCUUCGACCAGCUCUGAAUCAAGUCUUUUAAAAUUAAACAUUCAGGUGAGGAUCCAGCAUGAGGAGGAAACUGUGGGAGAGGAGGACGUUUUGUUUCGCUGAAGAGAGAAAUGUGGACGUUGUGAGACGAGUCCAGCAGACGCAGUCUGCUGAGAAAUCACUUUCACAACACAAUGAACAGCAAACUGUCAGGCGGGAUUAGUCUGUCAUGAUUUCUCUCUCAUCAUCCUCCCCUCGCUCGUUUAUUACUGCUCCUCGUUCAAACUUUAUCUCUCUUCGGCUCGCAGCAGCUCCGACCUGAACCUCCUGCAGCACUGACCUCCUCUACCUUGGUCUCCAGGCACUAAUUCAAUUACAGCCACCACUUGAAAAGCCAAUUAUAAUUAACACUGAUUAAUGAGCUGAAGUCAGAGGAUACAUCAGUGAUAGAGUGAUUGGACAACAUUAGGAGGAGGACAAUUACAGAGCUGCAGGAUGAACUGGAUCACACCGCCGUCGUUAGAGGAAGAAUCAGCGCUCGCAGGGAGGAAAGUCGGACCCGAGGUUAAUGUUCUGCUAAACGGCGCCACAAAUCAAAUCACAAUCAGUCUUAUCUCAUCUGAACAAACGGGCGAGUGCAGGUUCUGAAGAGGAGCUAACGUGAGACGCUGCUGCUGAUUCUGCUGCCGUCCAACAAUAUUUCAGCCUCCUGCUGCGUCGCCAUGGUUCCUUAUUUUUACCUUCAGCAAGACGGAAAAUUCUGGGAACGAUUUUGGUUUUCUGGCAACAAUGAGAUCAUCAAAUAUUAAUAAAUCCAUCUGGGGAAACUUCUUAAAGGAACAGUUCACCCAAAACCUCAAAACUCAGUCCUCCUCUCCUCUUCCUGAUGAUAUAAAGUCCUCCUCUACACGUUUACUUCUGCUCAUUUUUUAUUACUAAACUAAAUGUUUUGGUUUGAAAUAAAGUCCUUGAUCCAUUAAA